rnacentral:rRNA from 1 species
UACGAAGGAUGCGAGCGUUAUCCGGAUUUAUUGGGUUUAAAGGGAGCGUAGGCGGUCUUAUAAGUCAGUGGUGAAAUCUCGUUGCUUAACAACGAACGUGCCAUUGAUACUGUAGGACUUGAGUACAGUUGCCGUUGGCGGAAUGUGUCAUGUAGCGGUGAAAUGCAUAGAUAUCUGGAGGAACACCGGUGGCGAAGGCGGCGUCCUGGACCAACACUGACACUGAUGAGCGAAAGCCAGGGGAGCAAACGGG